CAGGACCUCACCUCUCCUCCUGCAGUCUGCUCAUCGGUGAAAUGGACGGAACAGCAGCCCCUGCCCGAGAUUUGGGAUGAUGAGCGCGUCUGACUCUGAUAACCAGGGAAAAGUGGAAAAUGAAAUGGAAGUGGCCAGCAGUCAACAAUCCAUCAGUUUCCUCAACUGCUCUUUUAAACACGGGUGACCACACAGCCCAGAAACUCCCUUCCAGGGACUACCCGAGAGAUUGAAGGCAGGCCCCACAGAGACGCGCCCAGCUCCUGCUCCUCAAACUGCUCCGUUAAACACGGGGUGACCACACAGCCCCGAGAGAAUGAAGGCAGGCCCCACAGAGACACGCCCAGCUCACGGUCACAGCAGCAUCAUUUACAGCAGCCAAAAGGUGGAAACAGCCCAGGUGUCCUCCGGCAGACGGGUGGAUUAACAAGCGGUCUAACUGCGCCAUGGGGUAUAAUUUAGGCUUAAAAAGGACGCAGCGCUGACACACGGGAAAACACGGCGAGCCUGGGAGCGUCAGGCCGAGGGCAAGAAGCCAGGCACAAAGACCACGUUAUGGGAUUCCAUUCACAGGCAGAGCCUAGAACAGAGACACCUGUAGGGACGGAUAGUAGAUUCAAGGUUGCCAGGGCUGGCGUGGGGGGCUGGGGAGGUGACUGAGGACAUAGGCUUUCUUUUUUUUUGAGAUGGAGUCUUGCUCUGUCACCCAGGCUGGAGUGCAGUGGUGUAAUCUGGGCUCAUUGCAACCUCUGCUUCCCAUGUUCAAGCGAUUCUCCUGCCUCAGCCUCCUGAGUAGCCGGGAUUACAGGCACCUGCCACCACACCUG
rnacentral:lncRNA from 10 species